GAAUACUCACACGAAGAAGCAGGAAAUUACUUCCACAUCGGGAGUCUGAGGAAGGUGCCUGUGAACCAGGGUCUUGAAGUGGUGCCAGGGCCUGAAGUUCUCAUAGAUUUGUGAGCUCCACUGGAGUCAUCUGGUGGUGCCAGAGCCAGGAAGGUGGGUGGCGCGCCCACCCCGAACAAUGUACCUGGCCAUUGGCGCACAUUCAUUGGAAACAUGAUGGGGGCCAGCUGGGCAAAUGGUCAUAGUGCUGGAGAGCAAAGGCCCAGGUGCCAGUGGAUCCCAUAGUUUUGGAUCUCCCCACUGGCUGAGGCAGGCACAGUGGUCCUCAGGGUAGAAGAUGCCAUGAGGAGUGGAGCAGGAUGCUCCACACCCCCCACAGAAUGCCUCUGGAGCCCUCCAGUUGAGGGGUGCCUGGGUGUGGGCAAUGUUCUGAAUAUGAGGAGGCCCUGCUGGCCUCAGUUGUGGCCCAUGUUGUCCAUAGGUGAAAAACCCAGGCACAUAUGGUUGUCAAGGGUAAGUGGACAGCACUAGAGGGUUACCCUGAGAGAUGGAUGAAGUCACACAUGGUGCCAGGGGUGGCUCCCAGAAUGGGUGGUGUGUUGACACAGGGGCAGCUGGAAGAUAGGGAAGGCUCUUGAAUGCAGACAUGUGGGCACCAGGAUUGAAGUUCAUGCAUGGUCUCCAUGAUGCAGAUGCUGUGGAGGCAAAGCAAAAGGGAGAGUGGAGGAGGGGAAAUGGCAGUAAGAUUGAGGACCCCUAGUUCCUUAGUCAGUGGGACUCUGAGGACAAAUUCUAAGAUCUCAGAGCCCUGGGGGCAGGAAAAUUUUGCAGUUUGCAAAUGUCCCUUAAUGAAUUUCAUAUUGUGUUCCCUUAGUCAUAGUUAUACACAGAGAAAAUUUGUUUUCAGUACAUGAGGAUUCCCUGAACUCUAUCUGUUGGCUGUGACACCUCAGCUUUUCCUGCUUCUGAGAGACCCUUUUGCAUCCUUUGCAGAAAAUCCAUUGGCCUUGUAGGUCACUCCCUAUAAAUUGAUCAAUUUGACUCUGUCAGUGGCACCAUACCCUGCUGCAUGCUCACCAACAGGAAAGGGAUAUUCUCCAGGAAAGAUGCAGGUACCCCAGGGUCACUUGUGACGAUGACUGUUUCUAAAGAUUAUUGCCCCAUCACCUCCUCAGCCUUUCUUUUGCUAAUACUCCUUGUAUACCCCUCCACUUCUUUCCUAGGCUUCCACAAACAAGCAAAAAUACCUGAAUUUGAUCUCUGCCUAGCUAGAGGCUGAGGAUUCCUGCAGUUCACUCAGGAGCAAAUCCUGCCCAGCAUGUGGGUGCUUCUCCCAGAACUUCCCACAGCAAACACUAAUGGGGGUCAGAUUCUGGCCACCUGUGUCCCUAGUGUUCACUUGUUUCUGCCAUGAUGCAGGGAGCUCCUUUCCCAGGGAAGAGGUCUAUGUUAUAGACACUGAGUUCCCAACAUCCUCUCCUGGGCUUACCAGCAAAGGACACCGAGGUUUAUGAAGUUGAUGGGAUGGUGAGGAUUGGGGUUUCCAGAGAUAUUAAUGGACACUGGUCAUUUUUUUACUGGGUCUGGGAAUUGCAGCCAUUCUGAGGUCCAUUUCCUUUGUGCUCCCAAUAAUGGGAAGGAAAGUGUCACACAGAUUCAGGCCUGCACUAGUUGCUCCCUGUGGCAAGGCUGUUGGGAGUAAAUUCCUGUCCACCAGAAUAUUAUGCAGAGCACAGUCAAGGAAUGGGAGGUCCAUCACACUUCAACAUUUGCACAUAUUAAUCAGGACACCUGCCUAACUUCAAAUGACAGUUCGAGUAGCGCCCCUUCCUAACUUUGUGCUAUACUCCUCCUGUCUUCAUAAGAACCCAGUCAUCUUCAAACCUGAUACUGGAAAAUGAAGAACACCCCACCUCUUUUCAUGGAAUAGCAAACCAGAAAGAUAAGCAAAGUGUUCGUGUCAAUGUAAAAACAAUGAGCUGAGGCUACACACAGAGAGUGUGAAAGUGAUAACAAUUCAUAAGACCUUACAGAGGCCCAAGUCUAUGUUAGUUGAGUUUCCUGGGUAUGCUGCCCUUCAGGAAUCAAGGACACCUGCUGUCAUAAUGGAAGGUGAAGUUUUCAUGGGCAAGAAGUUGGUGAGGUACCCUGGGCUGUGGCAGUUAAAGUGCCCUGCAGCCUCACCCAGAGGGAGUAUAUCACACUGCAUUGUGGUCAUUGAGAAUCCCUCUGGGCAGUUUUCUAGCUAAGAACAUUUCUAUCCAUUACCCAGUUAUGAUCUGAGACUCUCAGUCAAUCCUCUCAGAAUGAUAUCACAGGCAGCUUUCAUGUGAAUGACGAAUGGACACAGGGCUCAGCAUCUUGACUCUAGGGAGCCCUAACUGACCACCACUGUGACACUGUCUGUGACUGCCUAAAAAGCCAUGCAGUGACCAAUGUCCAUUCUACAAGGAAUCAAUCCCUUGGCCUCUUUCCUUUCUACUGAUCCAGUGUACUUCCCCUGAUUUGGUCUGGACCUGGGUCUUAGGAGUCCUCCUCCCCAUGAGUAGUACCAGUCUUUCCUGGGCUUCCUGGGCCAUGUCAAGUGCAUUGUCUAAGUCUCAUUUAUUUCUUUACUUCUGCUCAAUGAGUUUAACCCAGAGAAAGUACUCCAUUCUAACUCCCAAAGAUUUACAGGGUGACUGGUAGUCAGAUAAUAAAUCCCUGACCCUCCAGGCUUACCUCCUUCUAAAGGUCAGGACACUGGACACAGUUACUCAGUCUCCACAGUGGGAAAAAUCAGUACAUAACCCAGAGGGUGACCUGCCUGUAACAGAUGCUCAGAGUCCAAGUGAGCCAAGCUGGGCAACGUUUAAGUGUAAACCCCAGUGGAAUGUUGG
rnacentral:lncRNA from 1 species